UGCGAACGCUGGCGGCAGGCUUAACACAUGCAAGUCGAGCGGGCAUCCUUGUGGUGUCAGCGGCAGACGGGUGAGUAACGCGUGGGAACGUGCCCUUCGGUUCGGAAUAACUCAGGGAAACUUGAGCUAAUACCGGAUACGUGCGAGAGCAGAAAGGUUUAUCUGCCGAAGGAUCGGCCCGCGUCUGAUUAGCUAGUUGGUGAGGUUACGGCUCACCAAGGCGACGAUCAGUAGCUGGUCUGAGAGGAUGAUCAGCCACACUGGGACUGAGACACGGCCCAGACUCCUACGGGAGGCAGCAGUGGGGAAUAUUGGACAAUGGGGGCAACACUGAUCCAGCCAUGCCGCGUGAGUGAUGACGGCCUUAGGGUUGUAAAGCUCUUUUCUCCGGGACGAUAAUGACGGUACCGGAGGAAUAAGCCCCGGCUAACUUCGUG
rnacentral:rRNA from 1 species